rnacentral:lncRNA from 1 species
CAUUUUCGAGGGAGAAUCGAUCGAUCGCUGGAAGAGGAAGAUCGAGAAAGAUUUCUUGCGAGGGUUUGCAGGGGCGCGCGUGUUUGGGAAUCGGGGGCUGAAGGAUUGGAUGGUGCCGUGAAUUUAACUAGCGAGCAAACAGGUAGGUGCUCGUACUCGGUCAGGGAAUCGGACUGCGUAAAUUUCCUUAUUUUGCUUCUUCCCCACGCGUCUUCAUUCCUCUCCGUCUCCGUCUCUGAUUGAUAGAUACAGCCUUCGCCCAGGCGUUGCUCCGAUUCCCGGCCACAGAAGCAUGCAGCUAGCCGCGGCCCGCGGCAGGUGCACACCGAAGAAGAAGCCCGCGGGGGUCUGCCUUUCGCUCAGUCGACUGAGAACGACUUCUUUCUCAGUCGAUGAUCAUGUACAUCGAAACACAACGGAAAAGCAACGAAUGACUGAGAAUUUGUAAUUUCUCAGUCGAGCCCGUUUUAGGCCCAGCUCGUGGGCUUGGUCUUUUCUUUUUCUUGUUCAUGUAUAUCUAUGUUCUGCGGUCUUCUGGGCAUUUGUACUCAAUAUGGGCUUCUAGUUUCCUGUUUCUAUGUCAUGUGCACUCCUGGGCUUUUGUACUCAAUAUGGGGUUCUUGGUUCCUGUUUCUAUUAAAAUUGUUUCUAUGUCCUGCACCCUCCUGGGCUUUUUUAACUCAAUAUGGGCUUCUAUGUUCCUGUUUUUAUUAAA